rnacentral:rRNA from 1 species
CAACAGGGAUUGCCUCAGUAACGGCGAGUGAAGCGGCAAUAGCUCAAAUUUGAAAUCUGGCUCUUUCAGGGUCCGAGUUGUAAUUUGCAGAGGAUGCUUCGGCUUCGGCCCCGGUCUAAGUUCCUUGGAACAGGACGUCACAGAGGGUGAGAAUCCCGUACGUGGUCGGCGGCCUUCGCCAUGUGAAGCUCCUUCGACGAGUCGAGUUGUUUGGGAAUGCAGCUCUAAAUGGGAGGUAAAUUUCUUCUAAAGCUAAAUAUUGGCCAGAGACCGAUAGCGCACAAGUAGAGUGAUCGAAAGAUGAAAAGCACUUUGGAAAGAGAGUUAAAAAGUACGUGAAAUUGUUGAAAGGGAAGCGCUUGCAACCAGACUUGCCCGCGGUUGCUCAACCGGCCUCUUGGCCGGUGCACUCUUCCGCGGUCAGGCCAGCAUCAGUUCGGGCGGUCGGAUAAAGGCCUUGGGAAUGUAGCUCUCUUCGGGGAGUGUUAUAGCCCUCGGUGCAAUGCGGCCCGCCUGGACUGAGGUCCGCGCUUCGGCUAGGAUGCUGGCGUAAUGGUUGUAAGCGGCCCGUCUUGAAACACGGACCAAGGAGUCUAACAUCUAUGCGAGUGUUUGGGUGUCAAACCCGUACGCGUAAUGAAAGUGAACGGAGGUGGGAACCCUCGGGUGCACCAUCGACCGAUCCUGAUGUCUUCGGAUGGAUUUGAGUAUGAGCAUAGCUGUUGGGACCCGAAAGAUGGUGAACUAUGCCUGAAUAGGGUGAAGCCAGAGGAAACUCUGGUGGAGGCUCGCAGCGGUUCUGACGUGCAAAUCGAUCGUCAAAUUUGGGUAUAGGGGCGAAAGACUAAUCGAACC